GAUGUUGUUAAAAUAGGCUAACUGGGCUUGAGCAUCCAAGAUGAGCGCCUCCACCUCCAACGGCACGUGAGUUUUUUCCUGCACGGCUUCAAAGAGAUUCAAGCUGUUGGUCUCCAAGUACAGUACUUCGUUUCUUCUCGAACUGAAGUGCUUCAACGCCUCCACCGGAGCGAGGGUUUCCACCUGGAUGGGCGAGGAAGCUGGGAUUUUUUUAGCAAAUCCGUCUAUCAAAACUCCUGAGGCAUCUCGGAGGACUCCUGCGACCGCUCCCUCUGGACUACCAGCUACGAAGGAACCGUCGACGUUUAUCUUAAAGGACUGAUUCUUCGGCGGACACCAAUUCAAGGGGUUGGGGGGUUUUCGACGGAAUACAAGAUCGUUCCUUGCUUUCCAGAUGUACCGGAGAAGGGCUGCGAUUUUCUCUAAGGGAAGGGAGUUACCUGGCUUUUGUUGGUGAUUUCGUAGCCAUUCGUCCAUUCGCGUGAUGUUCUGACCCGAGAGCUGUAUAUUUAAUGCAGGGUCAUUCCAAACCGAGCCGGUCCAAGGGCAGAGCAAAAACAGAUGUUCCACCGUUUCGAUUUUGUGAUUACAAAACGGACAAACUGGCACAGGGAUUUUGAAGAUGGACAAUGCAUAUUGAGGAAGAAUUUGGACAACGGUUUUAAUCAAAAUUUCCUUCCCUGCCUUCGAUAUCAAGUUCUCCUGCCAUCCCUCUAAUUUCAUAUUAACUCUUGCUAACAACCAAGCAAAAAUUUGUUUUUUGGACUUCCCCCAAUCAGAAGGGAUCCCUAAAUAUUUCCCAGUUUUGUCAAUAACGGGAACUCUCAAUGCAUUAGCCAUAUUUCUUUUCAAGUUCGGUGGACAGUUUAAACUAAAGAACAUGCCAGACUUGUUCAGGUUUAUAGCUUGCCCUGAGGCAUAGCAAUAUUGGUUCAGUAUCAACGCAAGGUUUUGGCAUUCUUGCACCUUCCCAUCUAAGAGGAAUAUUGAGUCAUCAGCGAAUAGUAGAUGGGAAACGGUUGGAUAGUACCUGUUCAGCUUGAUUCCAGUUAUCGUCCCGUCAUUCACUGCUUUCUUCAUCAAGGCCGAGAGAGUAUUAGCCACUAAGAUUAAUAAAUAUGGAGAGAUAGGAUCACCUUGACGAAUCCCUCUUGAUGGUUGGAAAUAAGGUAGUGGCUCACCAUUUAAUUUGACACUUAAAGAUGGCGAGGUGACCCAUUUCAUAACUCUAUCCACCCGUAAUGUACAGAAUCCCAUAUUUGAUAGGCAUGUCUCCAAAAAGUCCCACUCCACUCUAUCAUAUGU